GACGGCGGGGCUGAAGCUGGAGGCACGUGACUCCGGGCUGCAGACCGGUGAUCCGGCGGGGUUCACCCUGGCUGAUACGCUUGCAUGCGGGACUGUAGGGCAUAUCAUAGGGGUUGGGGUUGUGUUGGGACUGAAGAGCUUGGGUUCCAUUUGAAGCUCUAUGGUUGGGUGAGGUUGAGGUCCACUUGUUGUGAAGGUUGUACAUGGUUUCUUU
rnacentral:misc_RNA from 1 species